rnacentral:rRNA from 2 species
GUGAGGCCUUCGGACUGGCCCAGGGAGGUCGGCAACGACCACCCAGGGCCGGAAAGUUGGUCAAACCCGGUCAUUUAGAGGAAGUAAAAGUCGUAACAAGGUCUCCGUAGGUGAACCUGCGGAGGGAUCAUU